rnacentral:tRNA from 1 species
GACGGGGUGACCGAGUUUAGGUGUUAAAUUGUAAAUUUAGAUACGAAGUAUUUCUUCCCCUGUCA